rnacentral:rRNA from 1 species
UAGGGAAUCUUCGGCAAUGGACGAAAGUCUGACCGAGCAACGCCGCGUGAGUGAAGAAGGUUUUCGGAUCGUAAAACUCUGUUGUUAGAGAAGAACAAGGACGUUAGUAACUGAACGUCCCCUGACGGUAUCUAACCAGAAAGCCACGGCUAACUACGUGCCAGCAGCCGCGGUAAUACGUAGGUGGCAAGCGUUGUCCGGAUUUAUUGGGCGUAAAGCGAGCGCAGGCGGUUUCUUAAGUCUGAUGUGAAAGCCCCCGGCUCAACCGGGGAGGGUCAUUGGAAACUGGGAGACUUGAGUUCAGAAGAGGAGAGUUGAAUUCCAUGUGUAGCGGUGAAAUGCGUAGAUAUAUGGAGGAACACCAGUGGCGAAGGCGGCUCUCUGGUCUGUAACUGACGCUGAGGCUCGAAAGCGUGGGGAGCAAACAGG